CAGAAUAUAGUUUAUUUAGAAUUUUAAUUUUGGGGAUUAAGGGAAAAUACAUAAUUUUGUUCUGA
rnacentral:tRNA from 1 species